GAUGAACGCUAGCUACAGGCUUAACACAUGCAAGUCGAAGGACCGGCGCACGGGUGAGUAACACGUAUCCAACCUGCCCUUUACUCUGGGAUAACCUUUCGGAAGAAAGAUUAAUACCCGAUGGAAAGGAUGGGGAUGCGUUCCAUUAGGUUGUUGGUGAGGUAACGGCUCACAAAGGCUUCGAUGGAGAGGGGUUCUGAGAGGAAGGCCCACCACAUUGGAACUGAGACCCGGUCCAAACUCCUACGGGAGGCAGCAGGGAGGAAUAUUGGGCAAGGGGCGUUAGCCUGAACCAGCCAAGUAGCGGGAAGGAUGAAGGCUUAUGGGUCGUAAACUUCUUUUAUAGAAGAAUAUGUAUUAUAUGAAUAAGGAUCGGCUAACUCCGUGCCAGCAGCCGCGGUAAUAC
rnacentral:rRNA from 1 species